rnacentral:rRNA from 1 species
AUACGGAGGGUGCAAGCGUUAUUCGGAAUCACUGGGCGUAAAGGACGCGUAGGCGGGUUGGCAAGUCAGAUGUGAAAUCCUACAGCUUAACUGUAGAACUGCAUUUGAAACUGCUAACCUAGAGUAUGGGAGGGGGAGAUGGAAUUAGUGGUGUAGGGGUAAAAUCCGUAGAUAUCACUAGGAAUACCGAAAGCGAAGGCGAUCUCCUGGAACAUAACUGACGCUAAGGCGUGAAAGCGUGGGGAGCAAACAGGAUUAGAAACCCUAGUAGUCU